AACGAACGCUGGCGGCAGGCUUAACACAUGCAAGUCGAACGCCCCGCCAGGGGAGUGGCAGACGGGUGAGUAACACGUGGGAACAUGCCCAAAGGUACGGAAUAUUCUCGGGAAACUGAGAGCAAUACCGUAUGUGCCCGAAAGGGGAAAGAUUUAUCGCCUUUGGAUUGGCCCGCGUCGGAUUAGCUAGUUGGUGGGGUAAAAGCCUACCAAGGCGACGAUCCGUAGCUGGUCUGAGAGGACGACCAGCCACACUGGGACUGAGACACGGCCCAGACUCCUACGGGAGGCAGCAGUGGGGAAUCUUGGACAAUGGGCGCAAGCCUGAUCCAGCCACGCCGCGUGGAUGAUGAAGGCCCUAGGGUUGUAAAAUCCUUUCGUUGGGGACGAUAAUGACGGUACCCAAAGAAGAAGCUCCGGCUAACUUCGUG
rnacentral:rRNA from 1 species